rnacentral:lncRNA from 1 species
CUAGAAGGACAAAGCCUGGCCUGUGGGACUGGCUCUGCCGCUUACUGGGGCCUCGUGCAAGGCACUCAGCUUCUCAGAGCUUUGUAAUACUCCCAACCUUCCCACCUCACAAGGCCUCCGGCAGGAUGUGUCACACUUUGUAAAUGGAAAAUCUUUCGGAAUAAGGGCUCCUCAGAGGAAGCGGCAAGUAUCAUCUGAGCCCGAUGGCACAAGCACAGUCCUACCACAUAUCUAUCUCGCUGCUGCACGUCUU